rnacentral:rRNA from 1 species
GACGAACGCUGGCGGCGUGCUUAACACAUGCAAGUCGAACGGAAAGGCCCUGCUUUUGUGGGGUGCUCGAGUGGCGAACGGGUGAGUAACACGUGAGUAACCUGCCCUUGACUUUGGGAUAACUUCAGGAAACUGGGGCUAAUACCGGAUAGGAGCUCCUGCUGCUUGGUGGGGGUUGGAAAGUUUCGGCGGUUGGGGAUGGACUCGCGGCUUAUCAGCUUGUUGGUGGGGUAGUGGCUUACCAAGGCUUUGACGGGUAGCCGGCCUGAGAGGGUGACCGGCCACAUUAGGACUGAGAUACGGCCCAGACUCCUACGGGAGGCAGCGGUGGGGAAUAGUGCACAAUGGGCGGAAGCCUGAUGCAGCAACGCCGCGUGCGGGAUGACAGCCUUCGGGUUGUAAUCCGCUUUCGCCUGUGACGAAGCGUGAGUGACGGUAAUGGGUAAAGAAGCACCGGCUAACUACGUG